rnacentral:rRNA from 1 species
GAUGAACGCUGGCGGCGUGCUUAACACAUGCAAGUCGAACGGAAAGGCCCAAGCUUGCUUGGGUACUCGAGUGGCGAACGGGUGAGUAACACGUGGGUGAUCUGCCCUGCACUUCGGGAUAAGCCUGGGAAACUGGGUCUAAUACUGGAUAGGACCACUUCUUGGAUGGUGUGGUGGAAAGUUUUUUCGGUGUGGGAUGAGCUCGCGGCCUAUCAGCUUGUUGGUGGGGUAAUGGCCUACCAAGGCGUCGACGGGUAGCCGGCCUGAGAGGGUGUACGGCCACAUUGGGGCUGAGAUACGGCCCAGACUCCUACGGGAGGCAGCAGUGGGGAAUAUUGCACAAUGGGCGCAAGCCUGAUGCAGCGACGCCGCGUGGGGGAUGACGGCCUUCGGGUUGUAAACUCCUUUCGCUAGGGACGAAGCGUUUUUGUGACGGUACCUGGAGAAGAAGCACCGGCUAACUACGUG